rnacentral:rRNA from 1 species
AUUGAACGCUGGCGGCAGGCCUAACACAUGCAAGUCGAGCGAGCGGCGGACGGGUGAGCAAUGUCUGGGAAACUGCCUGAUGGAGGGGGAUAACUUCUGGAAACGGUUGCUAAUACCGCAUACUAUCAGAUCUGCCGAGGUGGGUUUAUCUAGUAGGUGGGGUAAUGGCUCACCUAGGCGACGAUCCCUAGCUGGUCUGAGAGGAUGACCAGCCACACUGGAACUGAGACACGGUCCAGACUCCUACGGGAGGCAGCAGUGGGGAAUAUUGCGCAAUGGGCGCAAGCCUGAUGCAGCCAUGCCGCGUGUGUGAAGAAGGCCUUCGGGUUGUAAAGUACUUUCAGCGGGGAGGCGUUACCCGCAGAAGAAGCACCGGCUAACUCCGUGCCAGCAGCCGCGGUAAUUC